GUAUAGUUAAGUGAAGAAGGGCGCACGGUGGAUGCCUUGGCACUAGGAGCCGAAGAAGGACGGGACAAACACCGAUAUGUCUCGGGGAGCUGUACGUAAGCAUGGAUCCGAGAAUUUCCGAAUGGGGAAACCCUCUACUCGUCAUGGAGUAGAACUUAUAUCUGAAUCCAUAGGAUAUAAGAGGCAGACCCGGGGAACUGAAACAUCUAAGUACCCGGAGGAAGAGAAAGCAAACGCGAUUCCCUGAGUAGCGGCGAGCGAAACGGGAUUAGCCCAAACCAAGAGGCUUGCCUCUUGGGGUUGUAGGACACUCCAUUGGAGUUACCAAGAAACACGUUAGACGAAGCGGUCUGGAACGACCCGCGACAGAAGGUAAGAGCCCUGUAGUCGAAAGCGUGUUUCCUCCGGAGUGGAUCCUGAGUACGGCGGAACACGUGAAAUUCCGUCGGAAUCCGGGAGGACCAUCUCCCAAGGCUAAAUACUCCCUAGUGACCGAUAGUGAACCAGUACCGUGAGGGAAAGGUGAAAAGCACCCCGGGAGGGGAGUGAAAGAGAACCUGAAACCGUGUGCCUACAAGUAGUCGAAGCCCAUUCAUGGGUGACGGCGUACCUUUUGUAGAAUGGACCGGCGAGUUACGAUCCCCUGCAAGGUUAAGUGGAAGACACGGAGCCGCAGCGAAAGCGAGUCUGAAUAGGGCGACAUAGUAGGUGGUCGUAGACCCGAAACCGUGUGAUCUACCCAUGUCCAGGGUGAAGGUCAGGUAACACUGACUGGAGGCCCGAACCCACGUACGUUGAAAAGUGCGGGGAUGAGGUGUGGGUAGGGGUGAAAUGCCAAUCGAACACGGAGAUAGCUGGUUCUCUCCGAAAUAGCUUUAGGGCUAGCCUCAAGGGAUGUAUGUUGGAGGUAGAGCACUGAUUGGACUAGGGGCCCUCACCGGGUUACCGAAUUCAGUCAAACUCCGAAUGCCAAUCAUAUUACCUUGGGAGUCAGACUAUGGGUGAUAAGGUUCAUAGUCGAAAGGGAAACAGCCCAGACCGUCAGCUAAGGUCCCAAAGUAUACGUUAAGUGGAAAAGGAUGUGGCGUUGCUUAGACAACCAGGAUGUUGGCUUAGAAGCAGCCAUCAUUUAAAGAGUGCGUAAUAGCUCACUGGUCGAGUGACGCUGCGCCGAAAAUGUACCGGGGCUAAACGUAUCACCGAAGCUACGGAUUGUUCUUCGAACAAUGGUAGGAGAGCGUUCUAAGUGCAGCGAAGUCAGACCGUGAGGACUGGUGGAGCGCUUAGAAGUGAGAAUGCCGGUAUGAGUAGCGAAAAAGAAGUGAGAAUCUUCUUCACCGAAUGCCUAAGGUUUCCUGAGGAAGGCUCGUCCGCUCAGGGUUAGUCGGGGCCUAAGCCGAGGCCGAAAGGCGUAGGCGAUGGACAACAGGUUGAUAUUCCUGUACCACCCAAUUCCGUUUGAGUGAUGGGGGGACGCAGAAGGAUAAGGAAAGCGCACGACUGGACGUGUGCGUCGAAGCAGUAAGAGCGUCAGAUAGGCAAAUCCGUCUGGCAAGCUUGAGCUGUGAUCGGGAGGGAAAUAUAGUACCGAAGUUCCGGAUUUCACGCUGCCAAGAAAAGCCUCUAGCAAGGAAAAGGGUGCCCGUACCGCAAACCGACACAGGUAGGCGAGGAGAGAAUCCUAAGGUGAUCGGGAGAACUCUCGUUAAGGAACUCGGCAAAAUGACCCCGUAACUUCGGGAGAAGGGGUGCUUCUCUGACGAGAAGCCGCAGUGAAAAGGCCCAAGCGACUGUUUAGCAAAAACACAGGUCUCUGCGAAGCCGAAAGGCGAAGUAUAGGGGCUGACACCUGCCCGGUGCUGGAAGGUUAAGGGGAUGCGUUAGCAUUAGCGAAGCGUUGAACCGAAGCCCCAGUAAACGGCGGCCGUAACUAUAACGGUCCUAAGGUAGCGAAAUUCC
rnacentral:rRNA from 1 species